rnacentral:tRNA from 1 species
UGGGGUGUCGCCAAGUGGUAAGGCAGCGGGUUUUGAUCCCGCCACUCGGAGGUUCGAGUCCUUCCAUCCCAG